rnacentral:lncRNA from 1 species
UCAGUCACUCACACACACUCAGUCACUCACACAAACUCACUCACAGCUUUGUCACUCUCACCUCACGCCAUUGUCACUCCUCGCCGUCGCCGUUUGCCUAUGGUUCGCCACUUUGGCCUCUCGUUACCUCUGUUCGCCUGUGAUCACAGGUAAUGUGUUCAUCAAACCCUCUAUUGCUCCCACCAACGUUAGUUCCGUCUUUGAUAUAGAUCAAACAACCAC